GACGAACGCUGGCGGCGUGCUUAACCCAUGCACGUCGAACGGUAAGGCCCUUCGGGGUACACGAGUGGCGAACGGGUGAGUAAUAAGUGGGUGAUCUGCCCUGAACUUCGGGAUAAGCCUGGGAAACUGGGUCUAAUAUCGGAUCGGACCACUGCAUGCAUGGGUGGUGGUGGAAAGCUUUUGCGGUGUGGGGUGGGCCAGCGGCCUAUCAGCUGGUUGGUGGGGUGAUGGCCUACCAAGGCGACGACGGGUAGCCGGCCUGGGAGGGUGACCGGCCACACUGGAACUGAGAUACGGCCCAGACUCCUACGGGAGGCAGCAGUGGGGAAUAUUGCACAAUGGUCGCAAGCCUGAUGCAGCGACGCCGCGUGAUGGAUGACGGCCUUCGGGUUGUAAGCCUCUUUCAGCACCGACGAAGCGCAAGUGACGGUAGGUGCAGAAGAAGGACCGGCCAACUACGUGCCAGCCGCCGCGGUAA
rnacentral:rRNA from 1 species